rnacentral:rRNA from 1 species
AGUAACACGUGGAUAAUCUACCCUCAGGUCUGGAAUAACUCGGGGAAACUCGGGCUAAUACCGGAUAAGACCACGCUUCAUAAGGAGAGUGGGAAAAGCGGAGGCUUCUUUCGGGAACUUCGCGCCAGGGGAUGAGUCCGCGGCCCAUCAGCUUGUUGGUAAGGUAACGGCUUACCAAGGCUAAGACGGGUAGCUGGUCUGAGAGGAUGAUCAGCCACACUGGAACUGAGACACGGUCCAG